rnacentral:rRNA from 1 species
GGUGAACGCUGGCGGCAGGCCUAACACAUGCAAGUCGAACGGCCGCACAGUAAGCGCUUGCUCUUACGGGUGGCGGGUGGCGGACGGGUGAGGCAUACAUCGGAAUCUACUUUUUCGUGGGGGAUUACGUAGGGACACUUCCGCUAAUACCGCAUACGUCCUGCGGGUGAAAGCAGUGGAUCUUCGGACCUUGCGCGAUUGAAUGAGCCGAUGUCGGAUUAGCUAGUUGGCGGGGUAAAGGCCCACCAAGGCGACGAUCCGUAGCUGGUCUGAGAGGAUGAUCAGCCACACUGGAACUGAGACACGGUCCAGACUCCUACGGGAGGCAGCAGUGGGGAAUAUUGGGCAAAGGGCGCAAGCCUGAUCCAGCCAUACCGCGUGAGUGAAGAAGGCCUUCGGGUUGUAAAGCCCUUUUGUUGGGAAAGAAAAGCAGCAGGUGAAUACCCCGCUGUUCUGACGGUACCCAAAGAAUAAGCACCGGCUAACUUCGUG